rnacentral:rRNA from 1 species
CACCGCGGUUAUACGAGUAACUCACAUUAAUAUUUUCCCGGCGUAAAGAGUGAUUUAAGGAAUAUCUAUCAUAACUAAAGUUAAGACCUCGUCAAGCUGUUACACGCACCCACGAAUGGAAUUGUCAAUAACGAAAGUGACUUUAUCCCACUAGAAAUCUUGACGUCACGACAGUUAGACCC